AUUGAACGCUGGCGGCAUGCCUUACACAUGCAAGUCGAACGGCAGCAUGGAGAGCUUGCUCUCUGAUGGCGAGUGGCGAACGGGUGAGUAAUGCAUCGGAACGUACCGUGUAAUGGGGGAUAACGUAGCGAAAGUUACGCUAAUACCGCAUACGACCUGAGGGUGAAAGCAGGGGAUCGCAAGACCUUGCGUUAUACGAGCGGCCGAUGUCAGAUUAGCUAGUUGGUGAGGUAAAGGCUCACCAAGGCGACGAUCUGUAGCGGGUCUGAGAGGAUGAUCCGCCAUACCGGGACUGAGACACGGCCCAGACUCCUACGGGAGGCAGCAGUGGGGAAUUUUGGACAAUGGGGGCAACCCUGAUCCAGCCAUGCCGCGUGAGUGAAGAAGGCCUUCGGGUUGUAAAGCUCUUUCGGCCGGGAAGAAAUCGCACAGGCUAAUACUCUGUGUGGAUGACGGUACCGGCAUAAGAAGCACCGGCUAACUACGUGCCAGCCGCCGCGGUAA
rnacentral:rRNA from 1 species